AUACUUACCUGGCAGGGGAGACACCUUGAUCACAAAGGAGGUUUUCCCAGGGCGGGGCUCAGCCAUUGCACUCCAGCUGUGCUGACCCCUGUGAUUUUCCCCAAAUGCAGGAAACUCGACUGCUUAACUUGUGGUAGUGGGGGACUGCAUGCGUGCUUUCCCCUG
rnacentral:snRNA from 1 species